rnacentral:misc_RNA from 1 species
UUUCCGUAGGUGAACCUGCGGAAGGAUCAUUAUUGUAUAACCGAGGUGCGAGGGCUGUCGCUGACCCGAAAGUUCGUGCACGCCCGAGUGCCCUCACACACAUCCAUCUCACCCCUAUGUGCACCACCGCGUGCGUCCCCCUUUGGCUUGUUCGGAGGGGGGCUUACGUUUUCACACAAACUUUGUAUGCAGUGUAGAAUGUAUUUUUUGUUUUUGCGAUCACGCAAUCAAUACAACUUUCAACAACGGAUCUCUUGGCUCUC